AAAGCCUGAUGCAGCUAUGCCGCGUGUAUGAAGAAGGCCUUCGGGUUGUAAAGUACUUUCAACAAGAAAGAAAAGAUAAAAUCUAAUAUAUUUUAUUUUUGACGUUACUUGUAAAAGAAGCACCGGCUAACUCCGUGCCAGCAGCCGCGGUAAUACGGAGGGUGCUAGCGUUAAUCGGAAUUACUGGGCGUAAAGAGCACGUAGGCGGUUAAUUAAGUCAGAUGUGAAAUCCCUAAGCUUAACUUAGGAACUGCAUUUGAAACUAAUUAACUUGAGUUUCGUAGAGGGGGGUAGAAUUCCAGGUGUAGCGGUGAAAUGCGUAGAUAUCUGGAGGAAUACCAGUGGCGAAGGCGACCCCCUGGACGAAUACUGACGCUCAGGUGCGAAAGCAUGGGGAGCAAACAGGAUUAGAUACCCUGGUAGUCCAUGCUGUAAACGAUGUCGACUUGAAGGUUGUAAGCUUGACUUAUAACUUUCGUAGCUAACGCGUUAAGUCGACCGCCUGGGGAGUACGACCGCAAGGUUAAAACUCAAAUGAAUUGACGGGGGCCCGCACAAGCGGUGGAGCAUGUGGUUUAAUUCGAUGCAACGCGAAAAACCUUACCUGGUCUUGACAUCCAUGGAAUUUAAUAGAGAUAUUUAAGUGCCUUCGGGAACCAUGAGACAGGUGCUGCAUGGCUGUCGUCAGCUCGUGUUGUGAAAUGUUGGGUUAAGUCCCGCAACGAGCGCAACCCUUGUCCUUUGUUGCCAUCAGUUUAGCUGGGAACUCAAAGGAAACUGCCGGUGAUAAACCGGAGGAAGGUGAGGACGACGUCAAGUCAUCAUGGCCCUUACGACCAGGGCUACACACGUGCUACAAUGGUAUAUACAAAGAGAAGCAGCCUCGUAAGAGUAAGCGGAUCUCAUAAAAUAUAUCUUAGUUCGGAUUGGAGUCUGCAACUCGACUCUAUGAAGUCGGAAUCGCUAGUAAUCGUAGAUCAGAACGCUACGGUGAAUACGUUCCCGGGCCUUGUACACACCGCCCGUCACACCAUGGGAGUGGGUUGUAAAAGAAGUAAGUUGCUUAACCAUUAUUUGGAGGGCGCUUACCAC
rnacentral:rRNA from 1 species